AGAUUGAACGCUGGCGGCAUGCUUUACACAUGCAAGUCGAACGGCAGCACGGGGCAACCCUGGUGGCGAGUGGCGAACGGGUGAGUAAUAUAUCGGAACGUACCCGGAAAUGGGGGAUAACGUAGCGAAAGUUACGCUAAUACCGCAUAUGCCCUGAGGGGAAAGCGGGGAUUCGUAAGAGCCUCGCGUUUUCGGAGCGGCCGAUAUCGGAUUAGCUAGUAGGUGAGGUAAAGGCUCACCUAGGCGACGAUCCGUAGCUGGUCUGAGAGGACGACCAGCCACACUGGAACUGAGACACGGUCCAGACUCCUACGGAGGCAGCAGUGGGAAUUUGGGACAAUGGGCGCAAGCCUGAUCCAGCCAUGCCGCGUGAGUGAAGAAGGCCUUCGGGUUGUAAAGCUACUUUCAGCCGGAAAGAAAACGCACGGGUUAAUACCCUGUAGUCGGAUGACGGUACCGGAAGAAGAAGCACCGCUAACUACGUGCCAGCAGCCGCGGUAA
rnacentral:rRNA from 1 species